rnacentral:rRNA from 1 species
UCGGUGAACGACGCUCAAGCAUGCCCCCCAUGCCGAGGGCGCAUGUGCGUUCAAGAGCUCGAUGAUUCACGAGGCUGCAAUUCACACUGGUAUCGCAUUUCGCUGCGCUCUUCAUCGAUGCGAGACAAGAGAUCCGUUGUUGAAAGUUGUUUGUUUUUUCGUAGAUUUCUCUUGUCGACUAUAUGCUAUAUUCCACAUUUUAGGUGUUGUUGUUUUCGUUCCGCUCACGCAGUGUAGUAGUAAAUCACAGUAAUGAUCCUUCCGUAGGUGAACCUGCGGAAGGAUCAUUACUGUGAUUUACUWCUACACUGCGUGGCGGAACGAAAACAACAACACCUAAAAUGUGGAAUAUAGCAUAUAGUCGACAAGAGAAAUCUACGAAAAAACAAACAAAACUUUCAACAACGGAUCUCUUGGUUCUCGCAUCGAUGAAGAGCGCAGCGAAAUGCGAUACCUAGUGUGAAUUGCAGCCAUCGUGAAUCAUCGAGUUCUUGAACGCACAUUGCGCCCCUCGGCAUUCCGGGGGGCAUGCCUGUUUGAGCGUCGUUUCCAUCUUGCGCGUGCGCAGAGUUGGGGGAGCGGAGCGGACGACGUGUAAAGAGCGUCGGAGCUGCGACUCGCCUGAAAGGGAGCGAAGCUGGCCGAGCGAACUAGACUUUUUUUCAGGGACGCUUGGCGGCCGAGAGCGAGUGUUGCGAGACAACAAAAAGCUCGACCUCAAMWSAGGUAGGAAUACCCGCUGAACUUAAGCAUAUCAAUAGGAGGA